ensembl:snRNA U6 U6 spliceosomal RNA
GCUUGCUUCGGCAGCGCAUAUACUAAAAUUGGAACAAUACAGAGAUUAGUGUGGCCCCUGUGCAAGGAUGAUAUGCAAAUUUGUGAAGCAUUCCAUAUUUUU